rnacentral:misc_RNA from 1 species
GCAAAACUUAGGCUUUAUAAUUAUGUUACCCUAAGCAGAGUCAUUGUCAUUAUUCCCGUAGUUAACUUUGCCUCUGCAAACAGGAGGAGGUUGGGCCUGAUGCUGCUCAAAUAGAGAAAAUUAGCCUCAAGUAUGCUAUAAAAGCACUAGAAAUGCCAUUGUGUCUUUUUAUUUAAUUAAUGUGCAAUCCUUCUCCAGUAAAUAGAGUAGUAAUUAAGCAAUAGGAGUGAGUGUUCAUGUUAUUGUCA